AUGACUUCCUUUUUGCUUUCCAGAAAACUCUGGGACAAACAUGCAAGACUUGGACUGAAAGGAGAAAUUUUCUCCGCUGACAGGUACCAUGAAAGAACCAACUACACCAAAGGAAACUUUCAACGCAGCCAUCAGCAGAAUAGAGAGGAUGUUUUUAAAGCCAUGAACAGAGGUGUGGAUCCGAUCAUCGUUGACAACACAAACAUUUCUCUUUGGGAGAUGUGGCCCUAUAUCCACAUGGUGAGGACGUGUGUGUACGUGUGUGUGUGUGUGUGUGUGUGUGUGUGUGUGUGUGUGUGUGUGUGUGUGCGUGCGUGCGUGCGUGCGUGUGUGUGUGUGUGUGUGUGUGUGUGUGUGUGUGUGUGUGUACGUGUGUGUGUGUGUGUGUGUGUGUGUGUGUGCGUGCGUGCGUGCGUGUGUGUGUGUGUGUGUGUGUGUGUGCGUGCGUGCGUGCGUGCGUGUGUGUGUGUCUGUUUGAAAUGCGUAUGAUUUCUAGUUUAGUUAGUCCCAGCUACCAGGCAUUGCAGAGACAUUUCAAUGUUAUUUUUGUAACGUUCCACUUAUUUGCUAGUCAUUGUCACAUCCUUUGUACUUGUGAACCUAAACGGCAUCUGACUAACUACAAGACUGGUUGAAGCUGGUUUCCAGAUGACUUCCUACUAGGUGGUGCUAGCGGCAGAGUCAGAUAGUUUCCUCUUGGUUAGACAUGUUGUUGAUAAAUCUGACAUUUUAUUCUACUUUUUACAAUGUUAUUAAUAUACCAAUUGGUCUUCUGACAGACAGACGGACAGAUUAAACAGACUCAUGUCAUAAUAAAAUAUUAUUUCUCUCAGGGGAUUGGACAGAAGAACUAUUACAUCAGAAUGAUGGAACUGCCUAAAAUCUCCAUCAACAAGCUGUACAGGUCAGAAACAACCUCUUCCUUUUAACAGUCUACAUUCUCACAGUGUACACACAGUACAUGUGCAUUGGGGUAAGAUUGUAUACUUGUUUACCAGUUUUACAGCCGUCAAUAGAUUGUUAUUACUUAUCUAUAAGUUAUACAUUGGUUGUCAAUUCAAUGAUUACAAAAAAAAACUGUGUUAUCUCCCUAUAGACGGUGUCGUGGUAAAAUCCCCAAACGUAAGUUCAGGUCCUUUGAGGUUCGCUGGAAAAAAGCUGACAGCAUCUGGCAUGUACUUAACGACGGCUACUCCAAAAAACGCUGGAAGAGAAGCAAAGAGGAAUGGAACGUCCAGUGAUGAAGACAUGCUGGUCUUCUCCCCACCCCAAAGUCUCCAAAAUACGGAACAAAUUCACCGGGGUGGCAGGGUAGCCUAGUGGUUAGAGCGUUGGACUAGUAACCGGAAGGUUGCAAGUUCAAACCCCCGAGCUUAACAGGCAGUUAACCCACUGUUCCUAGGCCGUCAUUGAAAAUAAGAAUGUGUUCUUAACUGACUUGCCUAGUUAAAUAAAGGUAAAAUAAAAAAAGAAAACGUACAGUAUUAUUAUAGAGCCCUUAUUGCAUGGAACUUCCUUCCAUCUCAUAUUGCUCAAAUAAACAGCAAACCUGGUUUCAAAAAACAGUUAAAGCAACACUUCUCGGCACAACGCCGAGAGGUAUUUGACCUAGAUAGUUUGUGUGUAUGCAUUGAUAUGUAGGCCACGUGUGCCUUUAAAAAAAAUGUCUGUCCUUGAGCUGUUCUUGUCUAAUGAUGUUCUGUAUUAUGUAAUUCUGUAUUAUGUCAUUCUAUAUGAUGUCAUUCUGUAUGAUGUCAUUCUGUAUUAUGUCAUUCUGUAUUAUGUCAUUCUAU
ensembl:lncRNA